rnacentral:rRNA from 1 species
AUUGAACGCUGGCGGCGUGCCUUACACAUGCAAGUCGAACGGCAGCGGGGGAGAAGCUUGCUUUUCCUGCCGGCGAGUGGCGAACGGGUGAGUAAUACAUCGGAACGUGCCCUGUAGUGGGGGAUAACUAGUCGAAAGAUUAGCUAAUACCGCAUACGACCUGAGGGUGAAAGUGGGGGACCGCAAGGCCUCAUGCUAUAGGAGCGGCCGAUGUCUGAUUAGCUAGUUGGUGGGGUAAAGGCCUACCAAGGCGACGAUCAGUAGUUGGUCUGAGAGGACGAUCGGCCACACUGGGACUGAGACACGGCCCAGACUCCUACGGGAGGCAGCAGUGGGGAAUUUUGGACAAUGGGCGAAAGCCUGAUCCAGCAAUGCCGCGUGUGUGAAGAAGGCCUUCGGGUUGUAAAGCACUUUUGUCCGGAAAGAAAUGGCUCUGGUUAAUACCUGGGGUCGAUGACGGUACCGGAAGAAUAAGGACCGGCUAACUACGUGCCAGCAGCCGCGGUAA